AUUGAACGCUAGCGGGAGGCUUUACACAUGCAAGUCGAACGAGUGGCGGACGGGUGAGUAAUAUAUCGGAACGUGCCCGGUAGAGGGGGAUAACUACUCGAAAGAGUAGCUAAUACCGCAUACUAUUGGAGCGGCCGAUAUCGGAUUAGCUAGUGGGUGGGGUAAAGGCUCACCAAGGCAACGAGCCCUAGCUGGUCUGAGAGGGUGAUCAGCCACACGGGAACUGAGACACGGGCCAGACUCCUACGGGAGGCAGCAGUGGGGAAUAUUGCACAAUGGGCGCAAGCCUGAUGCAGCCAUGCCGCGUGUAUGAAGAAGGCCUUCGGGUUGUAAAGUACUUUCAGUCGGGAGGCGUUACCGGCAGAAGAAGCACCGGCUAACUCCGUGCCAGCAGCCGCGGUAAUAC
rnacentral:rRNA from 1 species